GACGGAGGAUGCAAGUGUUAUCCGGAAUCACUAGGCGUAAAGCGUCUGUAGGUGGUCAAAUAAGUCAACUGUUAAAUCUUGAGGCUCAACCUCAAAAUCGCAGUCGAAACUAUUAGACUAGAGUAUGGUAGGGGUAAAGGGAAUUUCCAGUGGAGCGGUGAAAUGCGUAGAGAUUGGAAAGAACACCGAUGGCGAAGGCACUUUACUGGGCUAUUACUAACACUGAGAGGCGAAAGCUAGGGUAGCAAAUGGG
rnacentral:rRNA from 1 species